ensembl:lincRNA
GCUGCUCCAGAAAAGCGCUAUAUUCUCAUGUGACUUGUUGCACGGUACCAAGGACUUUGAUCACAGAAAUCAAGUGUCCAUUACUUUCUUGACCAUGCUCUGCUGGCAAGUUCCAGGGAGGACCAGCUCCCUGCCUGCAAGUUCCAGGGCUUAGUUCGCCGGUGCCACCACCCUGAUUGCUCCUGGAGGGAUGUCUUUCUGUGUCCCCACAGCUGCUACUACAUUCCCAUUUUAGCAGAGUGGACCAGAUGGCUCCCAUAGAUCAAGUACCACUGCGAGCUUUGCUGGUGGAGAAAGGACAUCACAACCCUAGGCAUGUAGGUGGCCGGUGGAUGCUGGGAAAGACCCUCAGUUGACAGUCAGCAAGGAGAUGAGACCCUCAGUCUUGCAAUGAAAGGAACUAAUUUCUGAAUGUGAGAGAAAACUUUCUCCUUGAAGUCUCCAGGAUGAAAAGAAGUUCUUGGGGCACCUUGGGUUUAUCCUUACCAACUUAAAACCUACAGAACUGUAAGAUCAUAAAUGUGCAUUGUUCUAGGCCACUAAGUUUGUAGUGAUUUUUUACAGCAGCAAUGGAAAAAUAAUAAUACUUUCUUAAUGAUUAAUAAAGAAAAUAAUAGCAAUGUGUGUUGAGACAUCUUGGCUUAUGGUUUUUUGUUGUUGUUGUUCUUUUGAUCAGGGUAAUGGGGAAUCACAGGGAAGACAGAUUGGGAGAUUGAUGCCUGGAAUUCUCCGCUCUCGGUCCUACUUCGGCUGUGAGUCCACAGACAAGGCUGUGUGAGAGGAGCACAGGGACUUCAACUGAAUAUACUCCAGAUAAGAAAAUAAAACUACUGCGAGACACGCUUUUUGGAACAUCUGAGUGAUGACUGGCCGUUCUUUCUCCAUCACAUGUAUUCUCUCCAUCAAGAAGACAUUCUACAGAAGAGGGUGGAACUUGAUCCCUGCAAAGAAAAUUGAUGAUGCUUUGGCAAUGGAAGGAAAAGAAGCAGAUGGUUGGAAUCAUCAGUACCACCCAGUGUGUCAGCUGAAUGAUCUAUCAGAUGUUCUUCCUCCUAGUGGGCGAUGGCUUCCUCCCAGCUACUGCAUCUUGUGUUUGGGGACCAAUGAGCCUUGUACUGUCAUACACUGUUUUUUACAAUGCUUUGAAGAACUUAUCAAUACUAUGAAUAUGAAUUAAAUGCUUUACAAAUUUUAUCUGUGUUCUAACUGAUAAGCCCAAAGCUACAAACUCAAAUAUAAUUUUUAAAAAUAUAUGUAGGUAAAUGUGUGUGUAUGUGUGUGUGUGUGUGUGUGUGUGUUUACAGAUAGAAUAUAGAAUAUUUCUAGAAGGGAACUCAUGAAUUAGGUACUGGUAGUUGUUCUAGGGAGAAGCACUGCAUGGUUGUGACAGGGAGGAGAGAGUUGUCUUAUUGGACAUUCUUUUGUACAUCAUGAACAUGUAAUACCUAUUAAAAUAUUUUGACAAAAUGAAGGGAACUAAUAUCAACAUUUUAUAAUUUAAAAAGCUGAGUAAGAUGCUCUCAGUCUCAAAACUCUAUUCCUACAAAAAUGUCAGAGCUGGGGUUUUAAUGCAGGUCACUUUUACUAUAGAACUUAAAUAAAAC